UACGGAGGGUGCAAGCGUUGUUCGGAUUUACUGGGCGUAAAGCGCGCGCAGGCGGAUUAUCAAGUCAGAUGUGAAAUCCCAGGGCUUAACCCUGGAACUGCGUCUGAAACUGAUAGUCUAGAGUCUCAUAGGGGGUAGGGGAAUUUCACGUGUAGGGGUAAAAUCCGUAGAGAUGUGAAGGAACACCGGUGGCGAAGGCGCCUACCUGGAUGAGCACUGACGCUGAGGCGCGAAAGCGUGGGGAGCAAACAGG
rnacentral:rRNA from 1 species